rnacentral:rRNA from 1 species
AUUUACAUUUGAGUGAGUGGCGAACUGGUGAGUAACACGUGGGAAAUCUGCCCAGAAGCGGGGGAUAACACCUGGAAACAGAUGCUAAUACCGCAUAACAACUUGGACCGCAUGGUCCGAGUUUGAAAGAUGGCUUUGGCUAUCACUUCUGGAUGGACCCGCGGCGUAUUAGCUAGUUGGUGAGGUAAAGGCUCACCAAGGCAGUGAUACGUAGCCGACCUGAGAGGGUAAUCGGCCACAUUGGGACUGAGACACGGCCCAGACUCC